UACAAUAACAGGAUAUUCAUCUUUAAUUUGUUUUGGGGUCCAUAUGGGAUUGCUGACUGAGUGUAAUAACAGUACAUCAAAGAAACCGACAAGAAACACUGAAGAAAACGAUGGGAACAUGAAAGAAACCGGCGAUGCGGAGAUGAGACAGGAUAUAGAAUAUAGAGGAACUAUUGACUAACUUUAGUUUGGGGAUAUGGAUGUGUUACGUGUGUCCGGUGUGAUUUGAAGAAUGGAAAACCUAAUGAAAAUAUGACCGAAAUAAAAGCUUAACUCCAGUGGAAUCUUGAUCAUAUCAGUGAGAAAUACUAGUAUAUUUACCUCGAUGAUAUAUCGUGGAUUUUAACUAUGGAGUGUACAUUAACUAUUGGAUAUAACUAUAUAUGAUAGUAUGGAAUACCAUAUAAGGUUUGUGUUGAUACAUGAACCGUCUAGCUACUU